CGCGUAGGCGGUCUGAUAAGUCAGUUGUGAAAGCCCGGGGCUCAACCCCGGAAGUGCAAUUGAAACUGUCAGGCUUGAGUAUGGUAGAGGGAAGUGGAAUUCCAGGUGUAGCGGUGAAAUGCGUAGAUAUCUGGAGGAACACCGGUGGCGAAGGCGACUUCCUGGACCAAUACUGACGCUGAGGCGCGAAGGUGUGGGGAGCAAACAGGAUUAGAUACCCUGGUAGUCC
rnacentral:rRNA from 1 species